AGCCCAGAGCCUGAAUCAGUGUGUGUGUUAGUGGAAGCGUCUGGAAAGGCGCGCGAUACAGGGUGACAGCCCCGUACACAAAAAUGCACAUACUGUGAGCUCGAUGAGUAGGGCGGGACACGUGGUAUCCUGUCUGAAUAUGGGGGGACCAUCCUCCAAGGCUAAAUACUCCUGACUGACCGAUAGUGAACCAGUACCGUGAGGGAAAGGCGAAAAGAACCCCUGCGAGGGGAGUGAAAAAGAACCUGAAACCGUGUACGUACAAGCAGUGGGAGCACGCUUAGGCGUGUGACUGCGUACCUUUUGUAUAAUGGGUCAGCGACUUAUAUUCUGUAGCAAGGUUAACCGAAUAGGGGAGCCGAAGGGAAACCGAGUCUUAACUGGGCGUUAAGUUGCAGGGUAUAGACCCGAAACCCGGUGAUCUAGCCAUGGGCAGGUUGAAGGUUGGGUAACACUAACUGGAGGACCGAACCGACUAAUGUUGAAAAAUUAGCGGAUGACUUGUGGCUGGGGGUGAAAGGCCAAUCAAACCGGGAGAUAGCUGGUUCUCCCCGAAAGCUAUUUAGGUAGCGCCUCGUGAAUUCAUCUCCGGGGGUAGAGCACUGUUUCGGCAAGGGGGUCAUCCCGACUUACCAACCCGAUGCAAACUGCGAAUACCGGAGAAUGUUAUCACGGGAGACACACGGCGGGUGCUAACGUCCGUCGUGAAGAGGGAAACAACCCAGACCGCCAGCUAAGGUCCCAAAGUCAUGGUUAAGUGGGAAACGAUGUGGGAAGGCCCAGACAGCCAGGAUGUUGGCUUAGAAGCAGCCAUCAUUUAAAGAAAGCGUAAUAGCUCACUGGUCGAGUCGGCCUGCGCGGAAGAUGUAACGGGGCUAAACCAUGCACCGAAGCUGCGGCAGCGACGCUUAUGCGUUGUUGGGUAGGGGAGCGUUCUGUAAGCCUGCGAAGGUGUGCUGUGAGGCAUGCUGGAGGUAUCAGAAGUGCGAAUGCUGACAUAAGUAACGAUAAAGCGGGUGAAAAGCCCGCUCGCCGGAAGACCAAGGGUUCCUGUCCAACGUUAAUCGGGGCAGGGUGAGUCGACCCCUAAGGCGAGGCCGAAAGGCGUAGUCGAUGGGAAACAGGUUAAUAUUCCUGUACUUGGUGUUACUGCGAAGGGGGGACGGAGAAGGCUAUGUUGGCCGGGCGACGGUUGUCCCGGUUUAAGCGUGUAGGCUGGUUUUCCAGGCAAAUCCGGAAAAUCAAGGCUGAGGCGUGAUGACGAGGCACUACGGUGCUGAAGCAACAAAUGCCCUGCUUCCAGGAAAAGCCUCUAAGCAUCAGGUAACAUCAAAUCGUACCCCAAACCGACACAGGUGGUCAGGUAGAGAAUACCAAGGCGCUUGAGAGAACUCGGGUGAAGGAACUAGGCAAAAUGGUGCCGUAACUUCGGGAGAAGGCACGCUGAUAUGUAGGUGAGGUCCCUCGCGGAUGGAGCUGAAAUCAGUCGAAGAUACCAGCUGGCUGCAACUGUUUAUUAAAAACACAGCACUGUGCAAACACGAAAGUGGACGUAUACGGUGUGACGCCUGCCCGGUGCCGGAAGGUUAAUUGAUGGGGUUAGCGCAAGCGAAGCUCUUGAUCGAAGCCCCGGUAAACGGCGGCCGUAACUAUAACGGUCCUAAGGUAGCGAAAUUCCUUGUCGGGUAAGUUCCGACCUGCACGAAUGGCGUAAUGAUGGCCAGGCUGUCUCCACCCGAGACUCAGUGAAAUUGAACUCGCUGUGAAGAUGCAGUGUACCCGCGGCAAGACGGAAAGACCCCGUGAACCUUUACUAUAGCUUGACACUGAACAUUGAGCCUUGAUGUGUAGGAUAGGUGGGAGGCUUAGAAGUGUGGACGCCAGUCUGCAUGGAGCCGACCUUGAAAUACCACCCUUUAAUGUUUGAUGUUCUAACGUUGACCCGUAAUCCGGGUUGCGGACAGUGUCUGGUGGGUAGUUUGACUGGGGCGGUCUCCUCCUAAAGAGUAACGGAGGAGCACGAAGGUUGGCUAAUCCUGGUCGGACAUCAGGAGGUUAGUGCAAUGGCAUAAGCCAGCUUGACUGCGAGCGUGACGGCGCGAGCAGGUGCGAAAGCAGGUCAUAGUGAUCCGGUGGUUCUGAAUGGAAGGGCCAUCGCUCAACGGAUAAAAGGUACUCCGGGGAUAACAGGCUGAUACCGCCCAAGAGUUCAUAUCGACGGCGGUGUUUGGCACCUCGAUGUCGGCUCAUCACAUCCUGGGGCUGAAGUAGGUCCCAAGGGUAUGGCUGUUCGCCAUUUAAAGUGGUACGCGAGCUGGGUUUAGAACGUCGUGAGACAGUUCGGUCCCUAUCUGCCGUGGGCGCUGGAGAACUGAGGGGGGCUGCUCCUAGUACGAGAGGACCGGAGUGGACGCAUCACUGGUGUUCGGGUUGUCAUGCCAAUGGCACUGCCCGGUAGCUAAAUGCGGAAGAGAUAAGUGCUGAAAGCAUCUAAGCACGAAACUUGCCCCGAGAUGAGUUCUCCCUGAC
rnacentral:rRNA from 1 species